rnacentral:rRNA from 1 species
UACAGAGGGGGCAAGCGUUGUUCGGAAUUACUGGGCGUAAAGGGCCAGUAGGCGGCCAACUAAGUCGGAUGUGAAAUCCCCAGGCUCAACUUGGGAACUGCAUCCGAUACUGGAUGGCUUGAAUUCGGGAGAGGGAUGCAGAAUUCCAGGUGUAGCGGUGAAAUGCGCAGAUAUCAGGAGGAACACCGGUGGCGAAGGCGGGUCUCUGGGCCGUAACUGACGCUGAGGAGCGAAAGCGUGGGGAGCGAACAGG